rnacentral:rRNA from 1 species
CGCACGGGUGCGUAACGCGUAUGCAACCUAUCAUCAACAGGGGGAUAACACUGAGAAAUUGGUACUAAUACCCCAUAAUAUCUCAUGCGGCAUCGCAUGGGGUUGAAAACUCCGGUGGUUGAUGAUGGGCAUGCGUUGUAUUAGCUGGUUGGUGAGGUAACGGCUCACCAAGGCGACGAUACAUAGGGGGACUGAGAGGUUAACCCCCCACAUUGGUACUGAGACACGGACCAAACUCCUACGGAAGGCAGCAG